rnacentral:rRNA from 1 species
CCUACGGGAGGCAGCAGUGAGGAAUAUUGGUCAAUGGCCGGAAGGCUGAACCAGCCAUGCCGCGUGAAGGUCAGUGCCCUAUGGGCGUUAAACUUCUUUUGUGCGGGAGCAAUAAUGGUCACGUGGGGCCAGACGAUAGGACCGGACGAAUAAGCAUCGGCUAACUCCGUGCCAGCAGCCGCGGUAAUACGGGGGGUGCAGGCGUUAUCCGGAUUUAUUGGGUUUAAAGGGUGCGUAGGCUGUGAGGUAAGUCAGCGGUGAAAUGCCCCCGCUCAAUGGGGUGAAGUGCCAUUGAUACUGCCUUGCUGGAAUGCGGAUGCGGUGGGAGGAAUGUGUGGUGUAGCGGUGAAAUGCAUAGAUAUCACACAGAACACCGAUUGCGAAGGCAUCUCACGAAUCCGCGAUUGACGCUGAUGCACGAAAGCGUGGGUAUCAAACAGGAUUAGAUACCCUUGUAGUC